CAGGACGUCCAGCCAGCUCAAAACACAGUCUUUGGACACAAUAUCAACAUGAAGACUUUGAAGGGACUCCAUGGAAUUGUGAUAGCUGCACUUUUUUAAACCAUCCAGCACUAAAUCACUGUGAGGAGUGUGAGAUGCCAAAAUCUGCUUGAAAUUCAGAAGAAUCUGCACCAUAUGGAGAGUAAAAUUUUGAGCUCUGAGACCUUGAGAAUCCUUUGUCCAGCCCAGCCUUUUCAUUUCAGAUUAUAUGGGAGAAGGAGUGAUACGAUCCAAAAGCCAGGAGACGAGAACAGCCAAUCAAGAUAGCACUGGCAGUGUGCUUUAAAAAAACAAACAAGCGAG
rnacentral:lncRNA from 1 species